CAGCCUCCCAAAGUAUUGAGAUUACAGGCAUGAGCCACCACACCCGGCCCCCAGCUUCUAAUAUUCCAUUUUCUUCCUCCCUGAGAUCAACUUUUUUAGCUCUCACAUAUGAGUGAGAACAUGCAAUAUUUGUCUUUUUGGGCCUGGCUUAAUUUCACUUAAGAUAAAAAUCUCCAAUGGCCGGGCAUCAUGGCUCACGCCUAUAAUCCCAGCACUUUGGGAGGCCAAGGCAGGAGGAUCACAGAGUCAGGAGAUCGAGACCAUCCUGGCCAACAUGGUGAAACCCCGUCUCUACUAAAAUACAAAAAAAAAAAAAAAUUAGCUGGGCGUGGUGGCACGCGCCUGUAGUCCCAGCUACUUGGGAGGCUGAGGCAGGGGAAUCGCUGGAACCCAGGAGGUGGAGAUUGCAGUGAGCCAAGAUCGCACCACUGCACUCCAGCCUGGUGNNNNNNNNNNNNNNNNNNNNNAAAAAAAAACUGCUUCAGCCUCGCGAGUAACUAGGACUACAGGCGCCUGCAACCACACCUGGCAAUUGUUGUAUUUUUAGUAGAGAUGGGUUUUUACCAUGUUGGCCAGGCUGGUCUCGAACUCCUGACCUUAAGUGAUCCACCUGCCUUGGCCUCCCAAGGUGCUAUGAUUAUAGGUGUGAGCCAUUGCACCCGGCCCUAAUUCAUUGCUUUAAAUGAAAUUUAUUUUUAGCCAUGGAACCAUUUUUUCCCCUCAAAGAACAUACUACGUGGAACUCCAAUGUUGGAAAGAUGAAAAAGGGGCACUACUCUGCCUAAUGGGGCAGCUGAAGAACACUGUGGGAAGCCCAUGAUUUUGGUCCACUGCACUCAUUUAAUAGAUGUGAGUACUCCAGCCACCAAGUGCCAUGCCCAUGGUCACUCAGCAGUUAGUACACAGGCUUCUGAAGCUAGAACAUAGGCCUUCUGACUUCUGUCUCUGUUUUUCUUGUGGUUGACUGUCUCACCUAUGUAAUUGGGGGUAAAUACCUCACAGGAGGUUCGUGUG
rnacentral:lncRNA from 1 species